CAAAUACUCCCUCCGUCCAAAAAUACUUGUCAUCAAAAUGGAUAAAAAGAUAUGUAUCUAGACGUUUUAGAUACAUCUCUUUUUAUCCAUUUUGAUGACAAGUAUUUUCGGACGGAGGGAGUAGAAA
rfam:Triticum aestivum genome assembly, contig: Triticum_aestivum_CS42_TGACv1_scaffold_291268_4AL